rnacentral:tRNA from 1 species
AAGCUUAGGUUAAACCUAUAAACCAAGAGCCUUCAAAGCACUAAACAGGGUUUUACACCCUAGCUUCUG